CCUACGGGAGGCAGCAGUGAGGAAUAUUGGUCAAUGGACGAGAGUCUGAACCAGCCAAGUAGCGUGAAGGAUGACUGCCCUAUGGGUUGUAAACUUCUUUUAUAUGGGAAUAAAAUGUUCCACGUGUGGGAUUUUGUAUGUACCAUAUGAAUAAGGAUCGGCUAACUCCGUGCCAGCAGCCGCGGUAAUACGGAGAAUCCGAGCGUUAUCCGGAUUGAUUGGGUUUAAAGGGAGCGUAGGUGGAUUGUUAAGUCAGUUGUGAAAGUUUGCGGCUCAACCGUAAAAUUGCAGUUGAAACUGGCAGUCUUGAGUACAGUAGAGGUGUGCGGAAUUCGUGGUGUAGCGGUGAAAUGCUUAGAUAUCACGAAGAACUCCGAUUGCGAAGGCAGCUCACUGGACUGCAACUGACACUGAGGCUCGAAAGUGUGGGUAUCAAACAGGAUUAGAUACCCCAGUAGUC
rnacentral:rRNA from 1 species